UAGCAUUAUCUCGCCUCAAAUAAGUAUAAACUGAACCUAUCAACAGUUACCUACCUCAUAUAAGAACACAUAAACAAAAUUUACUCAUGCCUAAGAAGGUAGCUAGAAAUAUACAAUUUACAGCUCACUUUUCUGUCCUGAAAAACAGCUUCUGCUUCCGUUUUCUCCCUUGGUUUUGCUCUUGCGUCUGCAGGAUUUCGAGGUGCGGAAGAUGUAUAAUUGUAGUAGGCUAUGAGGGUGGUUUUUGGUCUGAAAAAAAAUGGGGAAGACUGCAUCAAUUUAUAGAGAGAAAAGGGGGUUGAAAUGGUGACAUCUUAAUGUGAUGAUUCAUCCAUACACCACAUUUUUUAUUUAUUUUCUUGUUUCCAGCACAUAUCCAAGGGUUAAACACGUAAAUCCCAUCCUAAGUGUCUUGUGUAUGAAUAGGAAAUGACCUAAAGUACUCAUUUAAUACUUUAUAACGCGACUUGAAUUACAUCAAACCGAUGCUGGUGGAGCUCGGUGCCCGCAAGUUGGUUGUUCAAACAUGCUGAAUUCUUGAAUUCUAGUUCUGAAUUUCAAAUCUCCAAAAAAAAUGGGGAAGACUGCAACUAACUUCAUAUAUGAUCACCAUUCUAUAAACUUGUCAUGUAUGACAAAGAAUGGAAUGUCACGUGAAUUAAAUAGAAUUGUGGAGAAUAAUGUCAACCAAACGAUUCAUUUCUCAUUCAAUUUAACAAUUGACAUAUGGUACUAAGAAACGCAAUAAGAAAAGUUUAACUAGGCAAAUUUGUAUACUCAACAGAUGCUCCCACUUCCGCGUUGCCGAGUGUUAGAAUCAGACCUUGGAAGGAAAAAAAAAUGUGUAAACAACUUGACUAAUGAAAAGUUUCAACACGUUCUCAAAAAUUCUGUUGAGAGGCACUCAUUUCUAUUCAUGAAAAAAAUGCAUUGAUGAAAUUAUAACGUGGCUGGGAUUUGAAGAUUUCAAAGAUCAUAGUAGCUCGAUUAUGAACAAGGUCAACUUUGUUGAUUUCAAGAGGUUAUAGUAAACAAGUUAUGAUUGUGGUUAGCCUUGUUGAUUUUAGGAUGCUGAAGUUAUCCAGCUACGACUACAGUUGGCCUUAAAGAUUUUGAUAGUCUUUGUAAUUAAUAUCAUGGUUAGUCUUGACGAGUCGAUAGUGGCCGAAUUUUCUACAAUGAUAGGACAUGGAGUAACAAUCAGACUAAAUGUUUAAUUAAACAGUAUCAUCUUUAUAAAUUUAAUCAUAAUAAUAUGAUGAAAACUCGAUAUAAAUCGAUUCAUAAUGAGGUUUAAAAAAUUAGUAAAAUUUAAGUUAAAUUCUCAAAAAAGAUAAGGGUUAAAAUCUAAAUAAACUUUCUGACAAAUUUACAGUAAGCAAUCAAAGAAGUGCUAUUCUUUACCAAUGUUUCUGAAAAUUAAAUAAAAAAAUUUAAAACGCAUUUAAUUUAAUUUAUUAAAAAUUAAAAAGAAUGGUAGACAUCUUUGAUUUUCCAAUAGUUAGUCGUGCAUUCUUGACAUGACCCAAUGUAUUAGCCUCGCUUCUAACUGAUUCAGUUUUCUUCACACCGUUACUUGUCUAUUUUUUUCAUAUUUCUGUUUCGAGCAUCCAUCCACAAAAACAAAACAUCAAGUUAAAAAAGUGAUCCGUAAAAGAGCACUCUGUUUUGACUGUGGCUACACUCCAUAGACGCGAAGAGACAUCUCAUUAUCAAAUGCCUCUCAUGAGGUGGCCGAGUUAGUGGAGUAGGCGAGCGCGGAGGCCUUUGGUUACGAGUUCAAUUCCCCCUACCGAUACUUUCUCGGUCGAGUUGUCGCAUAGGUCUUGCCUAGUGUGAUUUCCCUAGCUGGCGUAAUUUGCAGAUUAUUGCGUCAGUCUGAGGGGUUACCCAGUGUACACCCGAAAGGUAGUGGCUGUGAGUUCCCUUCUCAUUAACAAAAAAAAAGAAGAGAGAGACUCCUCGUUUAUCUACUUCCUUGGAGAAUCGAUUAAGCGUCUAGAUGAUUCAUUUAGUUUAUGUUUGGUAAAGCUUUUCAUAGAUUAUGACACCGUGUAUCAACCUCACUUCUACCAUAUUUAAUUAAAUCCCAAACCAAUAUAUUAGUUGGGGAAGUACCACGAUUUCAUCUUCAUUUUGGCCAUAAUAUAUUACAAUCAACUAUGUUAGGCUUUGUAUUAACCAGAAAAGACAACUAGCUAAAUAGACAAAUCUUAACAGAACUUGAAAAGUCCAGUUAAUUUGAAAUAAAAAUGUUACUGGGGAUGUAACCAUGAUGAUAAAAAUAGUGUUAUUAAGGCCAAACUUAUAACGAAAAAAUUGCUAUCAAAUUAAAAAAGAUUGCCAGAAACAUUAAAUACUAAAAUCUUGAUGAUAAUAGAAUGCCAUGUAAAAGUCUUUUAUAGUACUUACUGAUAGCAUUCGAAAAUACAGUAUAUCAGAUUUAUGGCCUUUAAUUAUACCACCUACAAUAGCAUUAUGAAAAAUGCUAUAGAACAUCAUUGACAACAUUCUUCGUAAGCUAUAGAUGACUUCAUGUUUUGUAGUUGAAAGUCUUAAUUAGCCGAUUUAUUUAUUUAUUUAGACUCAACUGCAAAAAUAAGCAAUUAAAAAGCAAUCAGUCACUUUUAAUUAUUUGUAGGUGAUUAGUCAAUCAAGUUUAAUUACCAUAUAGUUUGAAUGCUGUAAUCAAUAAUUAAACCACUAAGGAACACCAAUGAUGAUCACGUAGAAACCUUAAUUGGAUAAAAAUUUCAGGCACCAGUCAAUAAUUCACUAUAAAUCGAAGCAAAGUUACAGUAUGGUCCAGACCUAUCUACCCCGUAGAAUUUUUUACCUCAAUUCUUGCAAUCUCCCUUGUUCCUACUAGAGUUUGCUACUUCAAAAUAAGUUCACUCUUGGCAUGCUCCUAAUGCUAGAUCUCAACUCUUGGUACCUCACCUCAGUCCUCCUAACUUUUUGCUUAUGCAACAGCUGCUAAUCUCUGGUAUUGAUUUAUCUCUGAUAGAUUAAAUGAAGAAUUCCGUGGGUUGAUGUUUGAUCAAAUGAUCUUUGUGACUUGAUGAGUGGUUUAAUGUCUAAGGAUAUGAAAAUAUAUGGUUCAACUUAUAUCUCAAUUAGUGGAAUGAUUUAUGUUUCAAAGAAAUAUCUUCGUUUGGAAUGAUUUUAUGAACCCAAUCAUAUGGUGGUUAAAUCUAGAGAUCAAUGAAUGAUGACUUGAAUCUUCAAAUGAAUAAUCUCUAUGGAAUAAUUAUAAUUCAAAACCCUUUUAGACGUUGAUAAGGUAGGAUAUAUAUAGGAAAAUGUGUUUGGGAUGAAAUAGGGAUGAAAAUCAUGUGUUCUAAAGCAAAACAAUAUUGCUGGACAUUGACAGUUGCUCGAGCGCUAGACUAGCACUAGGCGAGUUGUAGUGAGUAGUCAUUAGUAUUUUUUUAUCAUAAUGCUCUCUCUCGAUGUCAGAUUGAGAUGAUUCAAAAUUGUUGAAAAGUUGACUCAAUGGGCUACAAUUUUUUGUAAAUGGUAUUCUCCAAAUUUGAAUGCUUUCUACAUGAAAACUGUGCUAUAAAUUGUGACUAAGAAUUUAGAGCAUAACUUAUGCGGCUUUUUGACACCCUUUAGACUUCAAAUUGUGUUCCCUUGAUCAUAUGUUAUCUUCUUGAACACAUAUGACAUAUUGAACUCCUCCAAGACCUAUACUACCAAUCCUUAACUAUUUUGAUUUUGAUUAUAACUCUAUAAAGUCCUAAUAAAAUUCAAUUAAGACUUGAUUUUAACUUAAGAAGUUGCCAAUUACAAAUUUAAAAAUUGCGAAUCAUAAUUUGGACUUAACGUAGUGAUAGCAUGUAUAAAUAAUUGAUUGGAGAGAGUGAGAAAGGGGUUUAAAGAUGGUAGGGAUAUGAUAGGCAAGAUAUAUGGGAUGGAGUGGGCGCCAUUUUAAUAUUUUAAGGAAUUUUAUAAAAUCAUAUAAAACCUUUUAAUUAACUUAAAAUAUGGGCUGAGAUUAUUUGUCAAGUCUAUUUGUAAAAAAAUGUUGGUAGGAGGAACGGUCCCCUAUGUAAUGUGCUUAUAUCAUCACUACAUAAAUGAUCGUCCUUUCAUAAAUUUACAAUGGAUGACAAAAAAUAAAAAAAUAAAAAAAUAGAGUUUUUUUCUCCAUUUGAUACAAUUGUAGAUAAUCAUCUCAAUCACAUGCUUUAAUUCAUAUUCUAUUUAACAUUUGACAUAUGGUACUAUGAACUCCUGUGGCAAGGCAUGAAAAAGCGCCAACUUCUCUUUCAACCUCCAAAUCCAAGUCUAUGCAACAAAAGACGUGCUUUUUUGGGGGGGGAAAAACUCUAAUUAUUUUGAGCCAUUUUCCUGGCUCUAAUAGCUAAUGUAAACCUAGUACUAAAUUAGUGUGGACAACAUUUUUUGGAUAGCCGUGAAUUAAUUAAUUUCGAUAGCUUAAUUAUAAGUUAAAAGAAUAUUUUAAUUAUCUUACUUUGAUCGAUACAAUAAUAUCACAAUGUUUCAAUCAUGAAUGACAACCUAAAGGAUCACAAAAAAAAUUCUCCAAUUGCAAAUUUAUUAGUGAUAUAUGAUUAAAUGCUGGACAAAGCCUUUCAGAUUGCUGGAUUAUGUCCUAGGCCUAAUUGUUGGAUCGAUUUAACGGUUGUGGGUCAUAGUGAAUUAAUUUGACUAAUUGGCUUUUGUCCUAUUAGAGUCAAGUUUUGCAGUAAUCUAGAUACACAUAAUCUAGGUUUAGCGUUUUUUAGACUUGACAUAAUUCACUGCUAGCACUAGCGAACGGUUUAGCAUAUUUGAGGCUUGACAUAAUCCUAAACAUAAUUCACUCAAAAAAUCAACAGGUGGUCAUAGUUUAUUGGUGCUGUUGAAGUUUCAAUUUGUUCUCGUAGUGUAAAUUCUUGUUAGAGGGUGGACAUCUAGAUAACUAUUAUUUGCUGAGAUCGUGGUAGAUCACAUUCAAAAUGGUACCAACAUAUGAGAAAAGCCAAUGGUAUACCACAUAUGACAGAUUCUAUCUUAACAUUAAAGAUGUAACACCUCCGGUCUUUAUCAUUUGAAUUUUCUAUUUAAGUAAAUACAAAAAACAAUAGAUUUUUCUUUAAAUUAAUUGACAAUAUAACUUGUGGAAUUUAUAAAAUCCUAAACAAUUGCAUAAAGAAAAUUACAUAGUCCGAAAUGAUUUGUUUAUAGCAAUUCAAUUAAAUUUCAAAAGGGCAAAGAAUCUUUUUAGAAUAGAAAUAGAACGUUCAACUCAAAUAGUACAAAUCCAUCUUGCCUCAAGUGGUCGUCUCGUAGCAUCUAGCUCUCAUCAUCCGAAAAUGGGGAGGGAUAACUUGGAAUGAGUUAAUGCUCAGUAAGCAAACUCAUGCAUAUGAUACAUACUUAUGAUAUGCAUAUGCAUUAUUUAAAAUAAAUUGUUUUUCUAUUGUGUGUGUGUAUAUAUUUUCCCUUUCCUUUCAAUUAUUUAAAUAAAUUAAUAUAAUAUUUUAAGCUCAAUUUAGUGUAUUGUCUAGCCAAUCAAAAUGUAGUGGACAAUUAUUAUUUGAAACUCAUUCAUGUUGUCAGUAGUACUGCAAAGCACUUAAUAUUAACAUUGAACAUUGGUUGGAUGCAUCGGUCCUUCAUGUCUCAUUUCCUACUAACACUUUUAAUAGCAUAGACAUAAACCUCUUAACAAAAACAUUGGGGGACACAUAUCCUUUAAAAAUAUUCAUUUGACAUUAAGAAACUUCUUAUUUUGGAAACUUCAUGUAUUGUUGUGGAUACAUUGUCAUGAAUGAAAAUGUAAUGAGAAACAUAGAUGAAAUAAAACAUGAUCAAACAAAUAUCAUAUUCAUAUAAUAUCAUUUAAGAUACACAUUUGUGUAUUUAACUAUGCAACAUACGAAUGAAGAUGAUGUAAGGUUUACUUUCCUCGGGUCCUAACAAUUUACUUUUAAAAUAGCAAGUGGAGAUGUCUUUGGCCGCUCAUGACAUCAACGUGCCAAAAGUCCUAAUUCGUUACCAUUUUUUAAGACCAUCUAGAUGUAUCCUUAAUGAUAUCAAGCCAUUCAAAUUUACUGUUUGACCAUUUAUACUUAGCAAUUGAUUUUACGAUAUUUAAGUAUGUUACAAGACCAUAUAGAUCAACUUUUUAGAGUUCAACGACUGUUAAUAUUUUAAAGAGUUCAUAAGUAGGUUAGUUGCCUUAGUAAAUAAAAUCAGCAUAUUGAAAAGGUGUAAAACUAAUGGGAAAUAGGCAUACACCCAGGGUUUGGUUAGUUGCCAAUUUUGCAAUAACUAAGUAUACACGCAAAUUUGUACUUUAUUACUCCCGUUAAAUAAACACAAUGAAUGUCAUUAUUCUAAUGAACAAGGAUUAAGAAUAUUACUGCUUCUAAACUUUGGAAAAGUGCUACCAAAACAUAGAUAUUUAGAUUAAUUGAUACUUCAAGUACAGCUAUUAGCUUAAAUUAAGAUUUCUAGUUUCUAUUUAUUUAUUUAUUUAUUUUUUUGAUAUUAGGCCAAUAGCCACUAGAUGUUCAAUUAUUUCAAAAUUACUUCGUAGUUUGUGUUCUUGCUUUAAAAAGGAUCAAAUGGAUCAAACAUUUAGUGAAUUGAAAUAAAAAGGACACCUCAAGUAUAUCAAAUCUUGAAGUAAAACAAAUAAAACAAUUAAAUUAAAUCACACAGUGAAAUGCAAAUAAUUAUAAUUAAUAAAUAUAAAACUCUCAUUUUAUAUAAUUAUUUAUUAUGGGUAAAAUUUAUCAACGACCACCCAACUUUAUACUUGGUAUCACCAUGGCUACUCAAUUUGAUUUUGUUUCCUCAUGGGUAUCCAACUUUAUACUUAGUGUUACAUUGGCCACCCAAUUUUGUAUAGCGUUUUACCAUGGUCACUCAACAUUUUCACCAUUUUUACUAAUUUUAAAAGGGGUAAAAUGGUAUCUUUGCGUUGUAUAUAUGAGAUAAUUAAAAAAAAAUUGAAGUAAAAAAAUAUUAUAAAAAAAUGAAAAUAAAAACUUAUUUAAAAAAAGGUCACUUAGAAAAAUAAAAUAAAAUAAAAAAUUGUUGUUUUUUUUAAAAAAAAAUUAGUCAGAAGAAUAAAACAAAAUAAAAACUUAUUUUACAAUAAAAAAGAACUUUUAUUUAUAAUUUAUUAUAUAUAUAUAGUAUAACCCGUUUUACGCCUUUUAAAAUUAGUGAAAUAAAUUAGGUGGUCAUGGUGAAAUGUUAUAUUAAAUUAAGUGGCCAUAGUGAAACAUUAAAUGAAAUUUGGUGGCCAUGGUGAAAUAAAAUAAAAUUAGGUUGUCAUGAUGACACUAAGUAUAAAGUUGGGUUGCUAUGUGAAAUAAAAUCAAAUUAGGUGACUAUUGUGACACUAAGUAUAAAGUUUGUUGGCCAUAGUUGGAUUUAACCCUUUUAUUAUUUACCAAAUAGUAAAAACUCAUCCUUAAAUUUAUACAUAAAAUUCAUGCAUGUAACACAAACCAACCCCCCCCCCCCCUCACAGACAUAAUUUAAUUCAUUUUUAGGUUUGUAGUGAUAUCUAUUAUUUAACAAGGGCAUGCGCCCAUUUAUAUUAUAAGAUGUAACAUGAAUCACCAAAUCAUUUUAAAAUAAAUUAAGUACCUUAACGAAAGGCCUGAAACGACAUCCAAGAGUUCCAAGAACGUAAAGCAAAAGUGGGUGGAAAGAAAUUUGUUAUAUAUUUUCUUCGAGUGUUGAAAUAUUCUUGCAAUUACAAGAAACACGGAAAUCAUUUUUAUCUUAGGAAUGUGCAAGAUUUCUUUCUAAUUUUAGGGCCUUUAUUUAAGGGCAAAGAUUGUGCUAAUUAAUUAAUUGCUGAAUAUAUUGGACCCAAAAUUGUGUUGGGGAGAAAACGCGUGGAUCAACUUUGGCUGACAACGAUAAUGGAAUUGAGAAACUGCAGCUAAAAUGGACACAAAUAUUUACUUGGUUCACCCAAUUUAGGCUACGUCCACGAGCAAGUAUGGGAGGAUCCACUAUAGUAUGAGGAUUACAACAUUCUCUCUAAAUACAAGAAGAUAACAACAAAUAAUCUCUCUUGUAAUUAGGAGAAAACAAGUAGGAAAUAUCUAGGAGAAAACAAUAAUUUCUCUCUCUAUUUUUUAUCUCUCUACUUCACCGUUUUUUCUUUCUACUAAAGGAAAGUUUUCUCUCAAUUUUCCCUCUUCAUACGCACGACUCUUUUUCCUUCAAAUCUUGCCUCCUUUUAUAGAGAAUUUUUUUGUUGCCCAGUUGCUUCAAAAAAUUCAAGAAAGAUGGCUGUAGAUGGGCUAUCAAAUGGCUGGAGCAAAGCUAGAAGUUCCACCGGCUUAGUUGCUGGAAAGGUAAAGAAAAAUUGGCUAAAUUUUCUUCAAAUAUUUCGGCUGAAGAGGAGCAAUCAAAAUUGCCAACUUUCCAUUUGCAUGCAUGCAUGUGUCUUGCUUGGUUGUUAAGUAAGUGUCAUGGUCAAAAAAGGUAGCUUUAUUUCAACAUUUACCCUACUUAAAGUCACUUUUGUUGACCACUUCAAUCCUUCCCAUACUUGCCAUUUCCAUGCUACUUACAUUUCUGCUAGGCCGAUGGUGGAUCGACACCUUAUGAACUUGUCAAUACUGAUUGACUUUGUCAACAUAUCUGCUAGGUUGUUUGCUAUAUGGAUUUUCUGUAUAUCCAUACUUCAUUCUUCCACCUUUUCUAGAACAAAGUGAUAUUGAACUCGAAUAUGCUUUGUCCUCUGAUGAAAUGCUGGAUUCUUCGCCAAAUGAAAACGAUCUGACUAACACUAAAUAGAUUAAUCUUCUCUAGUUUGUGUCCGAGCUCAUCCAUUAACAUUUGCAACCAAAUUGCCUCUUUGCUAGUUUUUGUAGCUGCCACAAAUUCUGCCUCCGUCGUUGAAGUAGUCACGAUAGACUGCAAUUUCAAAACCCAGCUUACAAAUCCUCCAACAAGAGUAAACACAUAUAUUGUGGUGGACUUGCUUUUGUCAAGAUCACCUGCAUAAUCUGAAUCAACAUAGUUUUUGACAAUAAAAUCUGAUCCUCCAAAACAUAAUGUAGCACUUGAGGUACCGUUGGCAUAUCUCAGAAUCCUCUUUACAGUACUCCAAUGUUCUUUACCAGGAUUUGCCAUGUAUCGACUAACCGCUCCCAUUGCUUGUGCAAUGUCCGGUCUUGUACAAAUCAUAGCAAACAUCAAACUACCCACUGCUGAUGCAUACGGUACUCGAGAUAUCUCCAUCCUUCCUACUUCGCUGCUAGGGCUCAUACAUAAGGAUAACUUGAAAUUAAUAGGAAGAUGGGUAGAAAUUGGCUUACAAUCCUUUAUAUUGAAGUGAUGCCAGAUUUUCUUCAAGUAGUUCUUCUGACUAAGCCAAAUCUUUCUAUUAUUUUUGUCUUGGUAAAUUUGCAUUCCUAGAACCGAUCCCAAGUCCUUUAUUUCAAACUCCCUAGCCAAUUGAGCCUUCAAGUUUUCAAUACGAUCUUUGUUGGGGCCUGCUACCAACAUUUCAUCAACAUACAACAGCAGAAUAAUGAAAUCAUUAUCACCAAUUCUCAUGUAGUAUGAACAUGGAUCUGAACUGAGUCUAUUGUAUCCAAGGCUCAUGAAGAAGGAAUCAAAUCUCUUAUACCAACAUCUCGACGCAUGUCUAAGAUCAUAUAGAGAUUUGUUCAACAUGCAAACGAAGUUCCAUUUUCUUUUUUCUUUAAAACCUCCUGGUCGAAGCAUAACAAUUUCUUCUUCAAGUUCUCCAUGAAGAAAUGCAGUUUUCACAUCUAACUGCUCCAGAUGUACAUCUCUGCUGAUUAUCACCUUGUGGGUAGUGGGAACCCACAGGUGGUACCCCUUUACUCCAUCAGCAUGCUCUAAAAAAAUACAUUUUCUGGAUUUUGGAUCCAACUUUGAUGUUUCUUGGGUUUUGUACAUAACGUACAGGAGACUUCCUUCAUUGUCAGUCAUCAGACACUUGAUCUUUUUUUUUUUCAGAUUCAAGCUUCACAUGUGCUUUGAGUAUUUUGAAGACUGUGAACACGUCUGCCUUCCUUUUGAUUGGAUAUACACAACAUCUCCUGAAGUAAUCAUCAAUAAAAGAUACAAAGUAUCUUGCGCCUCCUAGGGAUAUAACCGGUGCUUUCCAAACAUCGGAAUGGACCAGCUCCAAGAUAGCUUUACUUCUAGUAGCAAAAUUGUUGAACUUCAAUCUGUGCUGCUUACUAGUAACGCAAUGCUCGUAAAAGGGUAAUGAAACCUUUUUUUGAGCCCUGGAUGAAGCUUUUGUUCUGAGAGAAUUUUCAAACCAUGUUUCGAUGUGUGACCAAGCUUACGAUGCCACAUCAUCGUUAAUUCUUCUGCUGAACCUGUCGAUGUGACAGAUACUUCUCUUUCUUCUCGUAGUAUUUCUCCUUUAAGCAUGUACAAAUUUGCAACUAUCUUUUCAGCUUUCAUCACCACAAGCGCGUCUUUGAAAAUCUUUUUCUCCGCCAAACUUGACAAUACUCCAUCAACUAGUGUAAGGUGCAGAUUAGCAACUGUGUUGCUAUCCAUCUUGUUCCACUUAGCAUCGUCAGUGAUCUCCCCGGGCCUCUAUCCAAUUGCCGCCAAACAGUUAUCUUUUUUCAAAACUGCUUUUAUUCUCAUUUUCCAUAAUGAGAAAUUGUUUCAUUUGAACUUUUCAAUCUCAUACUUUGUCGCCAAUUUUUUUUCCAUCAAUACUAUGACUGAACAAUGACCCUACAUCGAACCUUGCUCUGAUACCACUGUUGGGGAGAAAACACAUGGGUCGACUUUGACUGACAACGAUAAUGGAAUUGAGAAACCACAACUAAAAUGGACACAAGUAUUUACGUAGUUCACCCAAUUUAGGCUAUGUCCAGGGGCAAGUAUGGGAGGAUUCACUAUAGUAGGAGAAUUACAACAUUCUCUCUAAAUACAAGAAGAUAACAACAAAUAAUCUCUCUUGUAAUUAGAAGAAAAUAAGUAGGAAAUACCUAGGAGAAAACAAUAAUUUUUCUCUCUAUUUUUUUAUCUCUCUACUUCACCAUUUUUUCUCUUUACUAAAGGAAAGUUUUCUCUCAAUUUUCCCUCUCCAUACACACGGCUCUUUUUCGUUCAACUCUUGCCUCCUUUUAUAGAGAAUUUUUUUCUGCCCAAUUGCUUCAAAAAAUUCAAGAAAGGUGGCGGUAAAUGGGCUGUCAAAUGGCUGGAGCAAAGUUGGAAGUUCUACCGCCUUAGUGGCUGGAAAGGUCAAGAAAAAUUGGCUAAAUUUUCUUCAAGUAUUUCGGCUAAAGAGGGGCAAUCAAAAUUGCCAACUUUCCAUUUGCAUGCAUGAAUGUGUCUUGCUUGGUUGUUAAGUAAGUGUCAUGGUAAAAAAAGGUGUCUUUAUUUCAACAAAUUGUGCUAAUUACCUCAUUACCAAAUUCAUUAAAUUGACUAUUGCGUUGAUUCCAUUCUUCUCUACUGUCCAAAUACAUAUCCAAUAAAAGAAAAAUAUAUGAAUGUUGUUAAGGUCAAGCCUAUGUUUAAUUUAUUUAACAACAGAUUAUAACAUUAUAAGCUUAUUAUAAAAUAUCAUAUUACGUGUUUUAAGUUCAAUAGAAUUGUACAAUAAUUAACUUUAUUUGGCACGUCGAUUGAAAGGCAUCCAAGAUACAUUCCAUUACAAAGCAUAGUUGUUCACAAAGACAAUAAAUUAACAUUGAAUAUACAUUUCGCAUCAUAUAUAUUUGUAAAUUCACAAAAAGAAGAAUGCAGCGUUACAAAAGGAAUCUCAUCUUUUGUGUAUUGAAAAUUGUUUUAAUUUCACUAUUUAAUAAUACCAACACUAACAAUAUCAAUUUUAUCUCUGUUGCAAUUCACCGGACAUGUCAAGGACAACAUAUUUAAGCUCAUAGCUAAUUAUUGAUGAACACACAACUCGGAAUGAGAAUAGACAAAAUAGAAACUAACAAUACAAUGAAUAAGAUUUCAUGUACACCAAUCAAGCAACAAAUAAAUCACUCUUUCAAUUUAACAACACAAUUUUUUUUCCUUUUAUGACAUGGUACUUAUUAAAUUAUCCCAAUUAAAUAGUUGAGUUGGGACAACUUUUGUUACAAGGAUAAGGACAGUCGAUCUCUUGAAAUUGAUUUAGAUCGUAAAACCAAUCUCCAACUGCUUUUGCAAUUGUCUGUAUAUAACAAUUAUUUUGUUAGUUCAUUUUUGUUUAAUGGGGCAAUAUGAAAGCACUAUAAAAAACAUGUAAUCGUGAAAUUGGUAACAAAUAUUAACCUUGUUAUUUAAGAUUGGAGAGUGGGUCCCAAACCAUGUUUCCCCUUCAGUUUGGCAGUGUGUAUAGCAGGAAUUUAUGUAGUACCCUCUUGAUAUAGAGACACUAAUUCCCUUCAAUGCAUUUAUAAAUUCCAAUCUGAAAUCUAAAAACCACAUUAAAUAGAAACAGCCUCAGGUUAGUUGCAAGUAAAACGCUGGUUGAAAGAUUUAGAUAAACAACUUAUCAUACUUUGAAUGGUUUGGAGCUGACUCGGGGAGCAAUUGCUAAUAUUAUUCUUGCAAUUGAGCCAAGUAAAAUUUGGAUCCGAAACAUUAGGAGCCAAAAUGUGACUUAUCUGUAAAAAUUAAUGAUGUGAAAAGAAUUAAGACCAUAAAAUCAGAUGAUUGGAAAAGAUAAGAUAUAACAAUAAAAGUGCUCAUCUCAUUGAGAUUCGAUACAUACUAACCUGCCAUGAAUCAUAGGCAGAAUUUGUAAUGAAGAGUGGUGUCUGAAUUUGUUGUACAAUGUUUUGAGGGAAAAAACACUAAAAAUUAUAGUGAUAUAAUUAGAAGACAAGUUUAUGUCAAAUUGCAAAUCCAUUCAAUCUAGUCAAGAAUAUUCGUAUUACCAAGCUGGGUUUCCCUUUUGACGUACACGAUGAUGGCAAAUUCCUCGCUGAUCCCUACAUCCAAGUUAAUGGUGAAAUUGCUAUUACAAGAUUAUCAAACUACUAUUUAAUAAGCAUGCAAACGAUUAUAUAUCUAAGAAAAUUCAUACAUGUGUCCUGACCACAUCGUUGUAGUAAUCCUCGAUAUAAGAUGCUCCAGUAAUAUCUUUCCUAUAGAAGAGGAUAAAAGAUGUUAGUUUUACUUAAAAUAGAUGGACGUAAUUCUUAUGGACAUCAAAUCUUGUCUAGAUACGAGGCCUUGUAUGAAAGCUUACGCAUUUAUGAAAUAACCGGCAUCAGAAAUGCACUUUACUUUAGAGCCCUCAGGAACAAGAGAUCUAAAGCUAUCGCAAUGCAAAAUUGAUGUCAAUCCACCGGCUGAACAUCCAGACAGAAUAGCCUGCGUAUGGAUACUACAAGUUACAAAUGUUUUAUUCAGUAAAAAAGGGAGGAGUAUUCAUAAGAAAAAAUUGUACAUUUUCAGCUUUCUUCAUUCCUUUCUCCAGCAGCUCCUCCAUGACAGCAAGAAAAAUCCUUGCCCCUCUGAAGUGAAGUUUGGUAGCCUAAUCAAUUUUGACGAGAAAAAUAUUACAAGAAGAAAAUCAUCCAUUAUAGUUUUCAAAAAUGCCAUUAAAUUAUAUCUAUCUAUCAACUUCAAGAAAAUCCUGUAAAAUAUGAGAAAAAACAAUCAUAUGAACAUGAUGACUUACAGGAUCCACUGCUUCUACAUCCCCAGUAAAUGAUGAGCCAUCACAAUACCUUACCUUGAUCCUAUUCCAAUUAUAGAAAUCUGGAUGUUUACAUGAGAGACAAUAUUAAAAUCCUACUGUAAAGAAGAUAAAAUAUUCGAGAAUAAAUCAAAAUCCAAGUCAAUCUAAAGAUUGAAGUAUACCGGGGUUCAUCUGUGGCUCGUUGCUCAAAAUCCCAUUGAAAGCAAGCUGUUUAGCCAUGUCCUUGGAGGAACCCUGUUUUUGGUUCAUACGGACUAGGCAAUCCGCGACAUUUUGGCACCAUCCACCUCCCUUAAUAUCGAAGACAAACGCAUCUUAGAUUCUCCUCAACAAAAACCAAUGACAUAACUAGCUUACGUUUUAAUAUGAUAUUAGCAUUCUACAGUUAAAAGAAAUAUCUAAUAGCUUAGAAUAACCUCAAUAUGAACCAGCCAACUGUUUAUUCCCGUCCCAGAUCCUCUAUCAAGAUGGUACACUGGUGAACUCCCAUCUAAACAAACUGCAUAUACAAACAGUAUGAGCAUAUAUAGUUAACCGUUUUUUUCCCUUAGAAAUACGUAAAAAAAAAAUAAAAAAAUUAAUAUUAACAUGGUGGCAUUGUUUUACCAGCUCCUUUUGCUGCAGCAUUGGAAAGAUAAGUCUUAUCAACCAAGACUCCUUCGAUCCUCGAUGAGAUCAGCAUGUAAAAAAGGAUUUGCAGCAUCGUUCUAUAUAAGAAAUAUCAACAAAAGGCUUAGAAGCUACUUCCCAAAAGGAAUAACAACAAUAUUAAGAGACGGAGUGAAAGGUAUAUGUAGAAAAUGUAACUUGUUUUCCUGAAGGUUAGGGAGAAAGAAAGAAUGCUAGAGUGACAGUGAGAGACUUUAGAUAGUGUGAAAGAGCGAUGGCAAUGAGCGAUAUUUAUAGGGAAUAUAAUUUACUAAAAUAAAAGAAAAUUGAAAACCACAAACGUUUAAAAAUUACAAAAUUGAUAAUGUAGGUUUAAAACUCACAGCUACCCUUCGAUGAGGUUUCUAGUGGAAAACUUAUUGAGCUACCCGACUCAUUUAUUGAUACGGUUCUUAAAAUGCUUUUAUCAGGAUUAUAAAAUGCACCAAGAGGCUAUGAAAUAUAAUUACACCGUGUCUUACUUUUACAAGUAUAUUUAUGCAUACCAUAUAUCUUAAGUAUUAACAAAUGAAUGUAAGUUUUCGUGAAAGAAUAAACAGGUAAAGCAUUACAAAACUAUACUACAUAAGUAACGUUUUAUUCCAUUUAUAUUUUGUGCUAUGCUUUCUGUCUAAAAUUACAUAAAAGUUGUAAUCUCCUAAGCCCGAACAAUUAGCACACAAUUUUGAUUAAAAAAAAAAAAAAAGAAUUGAAAAAGUAUCAGUGAAUAGUUUUUAGAGCAUGUCUAACCUUGCUUAUGUGAUCUUUUUACGAAUUAAGAGCAUUAAUUAUAAUAUUGGUAAAAUAAGGUUGGAGAUCUAUAUCUCCUCUCUUUAACUUUUGUUUCCAACCCUAGAUUAAAGAUAAAAUUGAGAAUAGAUCUAAUACAAAAUUAUAAUAUGUAACAAGACAAGAGCAUUUAAAAUCUUGGAGGUAUUGCUUAGUCUUCUUUAAAGCUACCCCCAUAAUUGAUAAUAAUAUUCUUACUAAAAUUCCAUCUUCUGUACCCAAUACACUAAUAUUUUAACUUAAUUUCAAUUCCUUAUAUGUAAAAUUAAACAAUAUAGAAUUUCAAAAAUUCCAUAAUUUAUUUAUUCUAUUUAUUACUCUUAAUAAAGAUGAGUUACAUUAUUAAUUAGCUUAAUUUGAUAAAAUUCAAGUCACACACUUUUAGACACUAGUCUAACUUGACAAACAAUUAAAUAAUUAGUUUCAAUGGUCUUUGAUAAAAAGUCCAUAUAUUUUUUUUUAUGCCAAUCGAAUAAAAAUAAUAAAAAUUUGGUUAUUAGAAAAGAAAACGAAAAAAAAUUCGGAGCCAAUAGUACUAAAGAUUCACCCAACUUGACACAAUCAUACUCCCCCUUAAAUUAUGUGCAUCAUUAAAUUCAUCCAGCCAAGAUUUUUAUCUUGUUCUAUUCUUCUUUUUGCCUUGCUAGCUGACUACAUAGUGAAUUGUGCCAAUUCUAGUUGUAUUAUUGAAGCAAUGAAAGCAAAUUCUUAGGAAUUCGAGGAAUAAGUUAAGAUGUAUAUUUCCAAGUAAUAAUAGUUGCACACGUUAUGAUUGAUUGAUUGACCUGAAUUGAGGUGUUAGAACAUUACUCAAGAUAUAUAUUUUACAAUUUUAAUUAUUGGAGUUUCUUGCUAUAAAUAAAUAGUAUAGUUAUUGAAUACAUAAAUUCGAGGAGAAGAUAGAUUUCAUUUCGAAGUUCAUAAGAAAUUUUGAAUGCAAAACUAACAAUAUAAAGCAAAUGAUAUAUUUAUUUAGCAAACUAUCUAUACACCUAUAGUCAUUAUAGUUGCACAUGUUAUGAUCGAUUGUUAGACCCGAAUUGGGUGUUAGAACAUUACUUAAGUUAUGUUUUACAAUUUGAAUUAUUGGAGUUUCUUACUCUAAACAAAUAGUUCAGUUAAUGAAAACAUAAAUACAGGGACACGUCAAGUUCAUGAGAAAUUUUGAAAGCCAACCCUAACAACAUAAAGCAAAAGAUAUAUUUAUUAAUUAACAUGUAAAUUAUUAACAUACUUGAGCUCUGUUAGGAAACAACUCAUACAAAGAAUGUUCAAACUUGAAAAGUAGAUGAGCCAAGCUUGCCUAAUUUUAGGUUUGUAAAUAUAAACUAGGCUUGAGCAGCUUAAUUUCCAGCUUGGGCUGACCCGUUUAGUAUUCGCACAUCUGAUGCUUUUAACAAUUAGAGAUAAUAUAAAGGUGGUAUUACAUUGCGUAACUUCUUCCCAAUAAAACGCAAGUGUCAAUGUCCUCUCAUUGACAGAUAAAAACUGAAUCUCAAACUGAACAGUUAAUAUGUGUAAUAUAUGAAAGCAAAAACAAGGCUGUGGAGUAGCAUUAUCUCGCCUCAAAUAAGUAUAAACUGAACCUAUCAACAGUUACCUACCUCAUAUAAGAACACAUAAACAAAAUUUACUUACGCCUAAGAAGGUAGAAGGUAGCUAGAAAUAUACAAUUUACAGCUCACUUUUCUGUCCUGAAAAACAGCUUCUGCUUCCGUUUUCUCCCUUGGUUUUGCUCUUGUGUCUGCAGGAUUUCGAGGUGUGGAAGAUGUAUAUUUGUAGUAGGCUAUAAGGGUGGUUUUUGGUCUUAAAAAAAAUGGGGAAGACUGCAUCAAUUUAUAGAGAGAAAAGGGGGUUGAAAUGGUGACAUCUCAAUGUGAUGAUUCAUCCAUACACCAGAUUUUUAAUUUAUUUUCUUGUUUCCAG
rnacentral:lncRNA from 1 species